ACGAGGCCAUCAGAGCCCGUAUGAGAAUUUGGGAAAGGCAUUUGAAGUCCUGUUUAUUUGAAUCAAGCAUAAACACACUGUGCACAUGUCUGGCUGCUGGUGGGGCAGGGAGGAGGCUGGGGAGCAGAUCCUUCUGCGGUGGAUUUCAAAUGGAGAUCAGCUGGCCCGAGUGAUCGAUUACCCCGGAUGAAAAGACUCAGAGCUGUGGACUCGUAGCAGGAAGAGCCCUUAGAAACAGGGAACUGCUCUUUUUACAGUUAGGGAUACUGAAGACCAGAGAGGUGCUUGCUUGCCCAAAGUCGCGCAGCUUAGCUUGAAAGUAAAUUAUGGAAGAAUUCUGGUGGGCUUUGGGGUCAGACAGCGUUGAGUUCAAGUCCUGGAUCUAUCACUAUAUUCCUUGGUGUCAGCUUCAUUCCAAGAAUGAAUUCCAAGAGCAUUUGUGGCUCUUUCUGGGUCUCUGAAUCCCCAUCUCCAAAAUAAGGGGAUUGGAUUAGAUUGGAUUAGUCUGCUGCUCAUCUCCACGCCAAACUCCCUCCACCCUCACAAGCCUCAAUGGCCAAUGGACAGUGUCAAGCUGGAAACCCAGUAGGAUUUCUAAUUUGUCAACAGAACCCAGCACAGCCCAGAGGGAAGAGGGUUUUAAAUGGAAAGAAAGAACGCAGCAGAACUGAAGGACAAGAGGAUGUUGCUCUGCCCGUUUGCAGCAGAACAAACUAAACUUUGGGCUUUAUUUCAGGAAUGCUGGGGAAUUACCAUCUCUCAGGGUGGGAGAGGGUUGUAGAGUCUGCUCUGUCUACUCGUGUCCUGUGAUGGCUGAAUGUCCACCAAAUGACUACCAAACCUCUGUCCCAGUGGCUCGAGGGUCAGGCAGCCACUGCCUCUGGAGGCAGCUUCUAAGAACAGCCAUUCACUCGAUCAACAAACGUUAAUCAAAUGCCAAAUAGCAACAGAGCACCUGCCAGGCGAGGGACGAGGUGCUGGAGCAGUGAGACAACUGAAAUCGACUUGGUCCCUGUGCUUGUGGCACCAAGAGUCUAGUGGGGGUUAUAGACACUAAGUAAUUAAAUGCUUGGGUGAAAUAAUUAUAACUUACAAUGACUGUUAUGG
rnacentral:lncRNA from 1 species